rnacentral:tRNA from 1 species
GGAGAGGUGUCCGAGAGGCUGAAGGAGCACGAUUGGAAAUCGUGUGUCCCUGGUGACAGGGACCGAGGGUUCGAAUCCCUCCCUCUCCG